GCCCAGGUGGCGAAACUGGUAGACGCAAGGGACUUAAAAUCCCUCGGACCUUGCGGUCCGUGCGGGUUCGAUUCCCGCCCUGGGCA
rnacentral:tRNA from 1 species